CCUACGGGAGGCAGCAGUGAGGAAUAUUGGUCAAUGGGCGCUAGCCUGAACCAGCCAAGUAGCGUGAAGGAUGACUGCCCUAUGGGUUGUAAACUUCUUUUAUAUGGGAAUAAAGUGCAGUAUGUAUACUGCUUUGCAUGUACCUUAUGAAUAAGGAUCGGCUAACUCCGUGCCAGCCGCCGCGGGAAUACGGAGGAUCCGAGCGUUAUCCGGAUUUAUUGGGUUUAAAGGGAGCGUAGGCGGGUUGUUAAGUCAGUUGUGAAAGUUUGCGGCUCAACCGUAAAAUUGCAGUUGAUACUGGCAUCCUUGAGGACAGUAGAGGAAGGCGGAAUGCGAGGUGUAGCGGUGAAAUGCUUAGAUAUCACGAAGAACUCCAAUUGCGAAGGCAGCCUGCUGGACUGUAACUGACGCUGAUGCGCGAAAGUGUGGGUAGCAAACAGGAUUAGAUACCCCUGUAGUC
rnacentral:rRNA from 1 species